AGAAAUGGAAAUUAAAGGUAUCUAGAUACCUAAGAAAAAUAGACUUCAGUGUGAGAAAAUAGCAGUGGAGGAUCUGACAGCAUGCAUCCGUUUUCCUUGCAAUUACUCAGGCUCAGCGAGUGUUUUUUGACAGUGCAGGAGUCUAAAGCUGCUUUGCCGUGUGCUCAGAACAGCUGACCUAAAUCUGGCAGGACAGAGGAGUGGGGACCAUCGCAACAAUGAGAAAAGGUGGAGUGUGCACCUGCCUGGAGACAAAGCAGAAAUGGAAAUAAGGGCCAGGUGGAAGACAAGAAGAGGGAAAAGGAAGUG
rnacentral:lncRNA from 1 species